rnacentral:rRNA from 1 species
GACGAACGCUGGCGGCGUGCUUAACACAUGCAAGUCGAACGGAAAGGCCCUUUCGGGGGUACACGAGUGGCAGACGGGGGCGUAACACGAGGGUGAGCUGCCCUUCCCUUUGGGAUAAGCAUAGCAACGUGGGUCUAAUACCGGUUAGGACUACGCGAUUCAUGCCGUGUGGUGGAAAGCUUUUGCGGUGUGGGAUGGGUCGGCGGCCUAUGAGCUUGUUGGUGUGGUUAUUGCCUACCAAGGCGACGACGGAUAGCCGGCCUGCGAGGGUGUCCGGCCACACUGGGACUGCGAUACGCCGCAGACGCCAACGGGAGGCAGUAGUGGGGAACAUUGCACAAUGGGGGCGAGCCUGAGGUAGCGAUGCUGCGUGGGGGAUGACCGCCUUCGGGUGGUAAACACAUGUGAGCACAGAUGAAGAGUAAGUGACGGUAUGUGAAGAAGAAGCACCGGCUAACUACGUG